rnacentral:rRNA from 1 species
GACGAACGCUGGCGGCGUGCUUAACACAUGCAAGUCGAACGGAAAGGCCCUGCUUUUGUGGGGUGCUCGAGUGGCGAACGGGUGAGUAACACGUGAGUAACCUGCCCUGGACUUUGGGAUAACUUCAGGAAACUGGGGCUAAUACCGGAUAGGAGCUCCUGCUGCAUGGUGGGGGUUGGAAAGUUUCGGCGGUUGGGGAUGGACGCGCGGCUUAUCAGCUUGUUGGUGGGGUAGUGGCUUACCAAGGCUUUGACGGGUAGCCGGCCUGAGAGGGUGACCGGCCACAUUGGGACUGAGAUACGGCCCAGACUCCUACGGGAGGCAGCAGUGGGGAAUAUUGCACAAUGGGCGGAAGCCUGAUGCAGCAACGCCGCGUGCGGGAUGACGGCCUUCGGGUUGUAAACCGCUUUCGCCUGUGACGAAGCGUGAGUGACGGUAAUGGGUAAAGAAGCACCGGCUAACUACGUG